UAGGCACAUCGAAGUGCAGGGAAUAGAGGGGUAUGGGUCAUGUGCAGGCCGAUGAGAUCCAUUGAACUUGGCAUCAUGCUCAGCACAAACAUUCUAUGUCUAGGUCUAUAUUCUGAUACAUAUAAAAAGUUUUUGUUCUUAAUAUAAAGAAAAUAUCCCAAAAUACUUAAUAAAAGUAACUGCCGUAAUAAGAAAUCCUACGUUUCAUAAUGUGUAAAAUGCAAAAGCAAACCAACUAAGUGGCAACAAUAUUAAACAAAAGUAAAAAUAAGUCUCAAUACAAUGAAAAUACCAUUUUAGCAAAAUAGUAAAUUAAUUCCAACCUAAGAAGGGAAUAAAAAUUAAUGAUGAGAAAUUCUCCAUUUUAAUAUUUGUUUCAGAAGAGCAGAGGAAAGCUUUCCAAUCACUUUUUGAUGUACAGCAUCUGAAAAGUUCCAUCAUGUGUUUGUACUAAUUGUAUAUUUCACAUUUGCUGCAACAUAUAUGGGAAAUGCAAAAUUAAAUGUCAACAAAAAUUAAAUGGAACAAAAGACAAAACAACCAACAACCAUGAAAGCCAUGGAUAGGAGGAAUUUUAAGGGGUAAGAAAUAAAUGUCAAAAUUGUUUAUUGUUUUAUAUAUAGACCAAAACAGAAAGCACACGGCCAACAUGCUACUUCACGUUCCAAACAUGUAAUGUCAUUGGGCUUUUCUAUGCACAUUUUGAAAUUAAUUUGUUUGCUAACAUAUGUGGGGAGGAUGUUUCCUUGAGUGGGAGAGUUUAGGAUCAGAGGUCAUAGCCUCAGAAUUAAGGAAAGAGAUUUUUAGAAAAGGAUCUUUAGGAAAGAGAUGAGGAGGAAUUUCUUUAGUCAGAGGGUGGUGAAUCUGUGGAAUUCUUUACCACAGAAGUCCAUGGAGACUGUCAAUUGAUAUUUUUAAGGCAGAAAUAGAUAGAUUCUUGACUAGUAUGGGUGUCAGGGGUUAUGGGGAAAAAGCAGGAGAAUGGAGUAAUGCCCCUGUCCCACUUAGGAAAACUGAACGGAAACCUCUGGAGACUUUGCGCCCCACCCAAGGUUUCCUAAGUGGGACAGUGGCAUUAGGAAGGAGAUAUAGAUCAGCCAUGAUUGAAUGGCGGGGUAGACUUGAUGAGCCAACUGGCCAAAUUCUGCUCUUAUCACGUAUGACCUUCAUUGCCAAUGUGCAAGUUCCAUUCAACCAAGCAGAGCAUCCGGAUAAAAGUUUCUAUCCUCUGUUCUUCUCUAGAAAUAAGUCACAUGUUUACUUAAGUCUACUAAACGUGCAGAAAACCAAGAGAGCUCUGGUGGAUUUUUACGUCCUGAAG